CCUACGGGAGGCAGCAGUGAGGAAUAUUGGUCAAUGGCCGGAAGGCUGAACCAGCCAAGCCGCGUGAGGGAGGAAGGCGCAGAGCGUCGCAGACCUCUUUUGCCGGGGGACAAAAGGCCGGACUCGUCCGGUCCUGAGGGUACCCGGAGAAAAAGCAUCGGCUAACUCCGUGCCAGCAGCCGCGGUAAUACGGAGGAUGCGAGCGUUAUCCGGAUUCAUUGGGUUUAAAGGGUGCGCAGGCGGGCCUUUAAGCCGGCGGUGAAAUCGCGGGGCUCAACCCCGGCGAGCCGUUGAAACUGGCUGUCUUGAGAUGUCGAGAGGUAUGCGGAAUGCGCAGUGUAGCGGUGAAAUGCUUAGAUAUUGCGCAGAACUCCGAUUGCGAAGGCAGCAUACCGGCGGCGAUCUGACGCUGAGGCACGAAAGCGUGGGUAUCGAACAGGAUUAGAUACCCCGGUAGUC
rnacentral:rRNA from 1 species